rnacentral:rRNA from 1 species
UACGGAAGGCAGCAGUGGGGAAUAUUGCACAAUGGGCGCAAGCCUGAUGCAGCCAUGCCGCGUGUAUGAAGAAGGCCUUCGGGUUGUAAAGUACUUUCAGUUGUGAGGAAGGUGUUAAGGUUAAUAACCUUAGCAAUUGACGUUAGCGACAGAAGAAGCACCGGCUAACUCCGUGCCAGCAGCCGCGGUAAUACGGAGGGUGCGAGCGUUAAUCGGAAUUACUGGGCGUAAAGGGCACGCAGGCGGUUAAUUAAGUUGGAUGUGAAAUCCCCGGGCUUAACCUGGGAAUGGCAUUCAAGACUGGUUAGCUAGAGUCUUGUAGAGGGGGUAGAAUUCCAUGUGUAGCGGUGAAAUGCGUAGAGAUGUGGAGGAAUACCAGUGGCGAAGGCGGCCCCUGGCAAAGACUGACGCUCAUGUGCGAAAGCUGGGGAGCAAACAGGAUUAGAUACC